UACAGAGGUCUCAAGCGUUGUUCGGAUUCAUUGGGCGUAAAGGGUGCGUAGGCGGGUAAGUAAGUCCGUGGUGAAAUCUCUGAGCUUAACUCAGAAACUGCCGUGGAUACUAUUUGCCUUGAAUAUUGUGGAGGUGAGCGGAAUAUGCCAUGUAGCGGUGAAAUGCUUAGAUAUGACAUAGAACACCAAUUGCGAAGGCAGCUCACUACACAAUCAUUGACGCUGAGGCACGAAGCGUGGGGAUCAAACAGG
rnacentral:rRNA from 1 species